GGUUACUACCAGGGAAAGCUGAACCUCAGCUUUAGAGUGGUUUUCAAACCACUUGGGGCUAAUUUGGUGACCAGGAAGAUUAGUUUGGAAGGUGUCCAACCAAGGCGAGAUUGCAAUCGAGCCUUGGAUCCUCUUCAGUUGGCAUUGGAGGGCCUUAUAAAAGCUUAACUUGAGGGUUGGAGUCUUGUGGAGCUGAAUUUCAGACUUUUGAGGACUGUGUUGGAGCCUAGUACUAGGUGGGUUUGACCUAACCAGAACAAGUGAAGCUCCCCUAUGUUCUUUAUGUACCAUAGAGUUGGUAUAGUUAUGCGUGAUUGUGAGUAAUGUGAUUGUGGCCAUAAUGUUGAUAUAAUUGAAAUAGAAUCUCUGUGAAGUGGAGAAUCCUCAUGCACAAAAGUAUUCAUACUCCUGUUUAGUUUAGUUGAAUAACUACGAGACAAGUUAUUAUGCUUAUGAAAAUUAAAGAACCAUGACCUUCUCUUUUUACUUGUUUGAGUACAAAGUAGAGAACAAUGACAUUCUUUUGGACUCUAAAGUAGAGAACCAUGACAUGCUUU